rnacentral:rRNA from 1 species
GACGAACGCUGGCGGCGUGCUUAACACAUGCCAGUCGAACGGAAAGGCCCUGCUUUUGUGGGGUGCUCGUGUGGCGAACGGGUGAGUAACACGUGAGUAACCUGCCCUUGACUUUGGGAUAACUUCAGGAAACUGGGGCUAAUACCGGAUAUGAGCUCUUGCUGCAUGGUGGUGGUUGGAAAGUUUCGGCGGUUGGGGAUGGACUCGCGGCUUAUCAGCUUGUUGGUGGGGUAGUGGCUUACCAAGGCUUUGACGGGUAGCCGGCCUGGGAGGGUGGCCGGCGACAUUGGGACUGAGGUAGGGCGCAGAAUCCUACGGGAGGCAGUAGGGGGGAAUAUUGCAGAACGGGGCGAAGCCUGAUGUAGCAACGCCGCGUGCGGGAUGACGGGUUUCGGGUUGUAAACCGCUUUGGACUGUGACGAAGAGUGCGUGACGGUAAUGGGUCAAGAAGCACCGGCUAACUACGUG